AACGCGAAGAACCUUACCAGCUCUUGACAUGCCCGGUAUGGGGCCGAGAGAUCGGCUCCUUCAGUUCGGCUGGCCGGUGCACAGGUGCUGCAUGGCUGUCGUCAGCUCGUGUCGUGAGAUGUUGGGUUAAGUCCCGCAACGAGCGCAACCCUCACCUUCAGUUGCCAUCAGGUUAAGCUGGGCACUCUGAAGGAACUGCCGGUGACAAGCCGGAGGAAGGCGGGGAUGACGUCAAGUCCUCAUGGCCUUUAUGGGCUGGGCUACACACGUGCUACAAUGGCGGUGACAGUGGGACGCGAAGGGGCAACCCUUGGCCAAUCUCAAAAAGCCGUCUCAGUUCGGAUUGUUCUCUGCAACUCGAGAGCAUGAAGCUGGAAUCGCUAGUAAUCGCGGAUCAGCACGCCGCGGUGAAUACGUUCCCGGGCCUUGUA
rnacentral:rRNA from 1 species